UACGUAGGGACCAAGCGUUGUUCGGAUUUACUGGGCGUAAAGGGCGCGUAGGCGGCAAUUCAAGUCAGUUGUGAAAUCUCCGAGCUUAACUCGGAACGGUCAACUGAUACUGCUUUGCUAGAGUACAGAAGGGGCAAUCGGAAUUCUUGGUGUAGCGGUGAAAUGCGUAGAUAUCAGGAGGAACACCGGUGGCGAAGGCGGGUCUCUGGGCCGAUACUGACGCUGAGGAGCGAAAGCGUGGGGAGCGAACAGG
rnacentral:rRNA from 1 species